UUAAAACUGCAAAUCAGUUUGUAUACCAAAUCCAGAAACAAUUGCGUUUACUUUUUAUAUUCUCCAAGUGCUCUUUUUCUGAUGAUUUUUUUUUUUUUUGGUCUCAUGCACAGCAUUCUCUCACAUGAGAGAACUGCUUCUCUUUCAUUUCUUGCCUAAUCUCUUCAGGACAUUAUUUAUUUAAUUUCCAAAUCUCAUGGUUGUUGAAAAAUAAUACACCCAGUUCAAAUUCUGUUUUGGUAUUUUUCUUUGAGACAGCCUCGAUCAUAGAAAAGUCCCCAAGGCCGGAGAUAAUCUCCCAAAGAUUGUUGACAACACUGACAAGAAGAAGAACUGGGCAAAAGAACAGCAAAAUCUGCAUCUUUUAUUUGCUGAAGAAAGUUCGUCUCGACAUCGAUAUCUCCAGCAAAGCGCCAUGGCAAAGGUUCUCACAGGGUGGGACAUUCAUAUUGGAGUGCAGGGAUUAUGCUGAAAAGUCCUUAUUCUUCUCACGUCGACAACAGAUGCUCAUUUUCAAAAGGGAUGGAUCAAAAAUCUAUGUCGCAAUUCCACCAGAAGUGAUGGAUCCUUCCACCAGAAGCCAUGAAAGAUACGACAGGUAUUCUACGAAGCACAUCAACAAGAGUUUGGAAUUUGCUGAAUAUUAGCAGUAUUGUCAUAGGGAUGCGUUACUUAAUAUGGCAGGCAAUGUUUAUCAUAGCAGAUGCUACAAUAAUUCGUUUGCCCAUUUUGUUGCUUGCACUUGGUUCAUUUUUGUCGAAUUUGUUCGACUGAUGCAACUAUAUUGAUGUGUUGUUUAUGACUAAAAUAUAGGCUAUGAAAACUUUAAGCCUGAGUGACAAUCUAUUCGAGCAACAUUGAAUUUGGGUGAAACUUUUUCCUUUAGUUCAUUCAUAUUCUUCUUCGUUUGUCAUUCCCAUUGUUUGUCCUGAUAGUGGCAUAUUAUUAAUUGUUCUGUAAUUGAUGUUUGGAGCUUCAUUUCAUGUUUCAGAAUAUAUGGGUCCUAUGAUAAAAUUGAAGGACACUUAGUAAUUUUACAAAUCAUAAAUGUCUUGAUGAAGAGUAUGAAAUCAUUUGGUAUUGGUGGUAAGCAGACUGAAGCGUAAUAAUAAGGUGGAAACUACGCAUCAUAACUUGAACUCUCCCUUUGCAAUAAUGGAAAUUUAAUCGCCCCAUGCCUCUCGAAUGCUGAACAAUCGGCCUCUUCGCUGAAAUGGAGCAAAUAUCAAUACCUUUUUCCCACACACAAGGAUAUGCACCUCAUACAUUGAAAAGUUCAAGUGAUGAAUACUACCAAUAUAGAUCGUCUCCGUACAUUUACCUAGAGUAACGAAGCAAUGGGAUGACUCAAAGAGGAUGAAGACGACAAAAGCUCUCACAAGUAAUGUUUUGAUGAGGAUAAUUGCAUAGAUUGAGUUACACAUUAUUAACACGGUCAUUUUUUCUCUUUUCUUAAAUAUGGAGUCUUAACUUAUUAGUUUGUUUAUUAAUUAUAUCUUCACUAAUUUUCUUAUUUGCUUUAAUCUUUUAGUAAUUUUUUUUUCUUUUGAAAUUGAUGUGGUACAUUUAUUCUUGUGUUUUUCAUUUCUCGAGAAAUUAUUCUCUGUUCAC